CAGUCCUUUCUUGAGGCUGGGAGACAAUUCUUUAUAUGUUUCAAGGGAAGGGAGUCUUUGCUCUUCAUUUUUCUACAGCCUGCCUUCAGCCUCACCUGC